GAGGUGGGAGAGAGGAAGGAGCCUGGAAUCAGAUCAUCUUGCUUCGCCCCUUUGAUGGAGGAAAUCAAAGACAUGUGACCUCUCACCCUGCAGUAGAUCGUUUGCCAAGUUGCUCAUAACAGUCCCUUCUUGUUGUACAUGAGUUGGCUGCUCCCUGCAGCACGAAGCGGACUGGAUUUCGCCCGCUCUUCUGUCUGGGCUGGCCUGACUUGCUCUGACCAACCCUGGGCGGCCGGCGCGCGUUGUAUGCACUCUGGAGCUGAGGCGGCAGGAGGCUUUGUAGUUUCUUCCACUCCUUUGGAGCCCUGAGAUGGUCGUGUGAAGAAGUCAGGCCAGCCUCCUUGUGGAUGAUAGGACACGCCGAGGAGAGAGAAGCCCAGCUUACAAACAACAGGAGCCGCCAGACAGCUUGAACUUUAUGUGUCCACAAGAUAUUUUAAAAAGUGAAAAUAAGGAGGUCACAAUACCAACGCAGCUUUUACCCCGUAUCUCCAGCCAGAUGCACAGCCAUUAGGUGGUUAGAGACUGGAUCCUUGGGUCACUACUUGGAAGAGAACCUCCUGGCCAGGACACUGCAUGAGAGAGCAAUAAACAUUGACUGGUAACACAUUAUAGAUUCCCCAUUCAUUCCUUGGUGCCAAGAGGUGAAGAUGUUACAGCUGUUCAGAUAUUAUUCUGUACAACCCAUGGAACAUAUUGAACAGAAGCUCAAACUUCAACUGCAAAAAGUACAAGAAAAUCCAACAAUAUGCACCACUCCCCUCGGGGGCGAGGCUGCCAGGGGAGGAAGGAAAAGCACACGCUUAAAGGGAGCUGCGCCAGCUUGGACCUGAACCUCAGGACUUCUGUUCCAGCAACUUGGGACCUGACCUAGCUCCUGACAGGGCAGUGACAGCCACCAAGCAGACGGAAAGCCCAGCUUCACACCUAGCUCCGGAACUGGCCCCUCAUCUCCUGCUUCACCUCCCGCCAAGGUGACAGCUGCCAGCACACCCUGAGGGAAGAUGGGACUUGUGUUCAUUUCAAUUACAGCUCUCCCAAAACCAACCCUAAAAUGUUACAAUGUCUUCUCUAAGAGGAAAAGAAAAAGCUGUAACAAGAAGUAGGUAUCACUAGGAAAGGAAAAAUCCCACUAGUAAAGGCAAAUAUAAAGGCGAAGGAUCCACCACUUAAGCAAGCUAAUAAAAAGAUAAAAUAAAAAAAUUGUAAUAUCAAGCACAACUACAAUAAUCAGUAAAGAGAUGAACAUGAAGAUAUAAAAUAUGACAUAAAAAACAACAUGUGGGGGAAGGGAGUUAAAACAUAGAUCUUUUAGAAUGUAUUUGACCCUAAAAGAAUACCUGUUUAAAACAGACAGAUCUAAUUCACAGGCCAACAUAUAUGAAUCCCAUGGUAACCAGAAAUCAAAAACCUACCAUAGAUACACAAAGACAACAGAGAAAGGAACACAAAGAUACCACUAAAAAAAAUCAUUAAACCACUAGGGAAGAAAGUAAAAGAAGGAAAUAACAAGGGACAACUACAGAAACAACCAGAAAACAGCAGGAAGUACAUACCUAUCAAUAAUUACGUUAAAUGUCUCUGAACUAAAUGCUUCGAUCAAAAGACAUAGGGUUUUUCAUUGGAUUAAAAGAAAAAAAAAAACCCACCUAGAUGCUGGUUACAAGAGACUCACCUUCAGCGCUAAAGACACACAGAAUGAAAGGGUGGAAAAAGAUAUUUCAUGUAUAUGGAAACAAUAAUAAAGCUGAGGUAGGAAUAUUCAUAUGACAAAAUAAUAGACUUUAAAACAAACUCUGCAACAAAAGACAGAGAAGGGCAUUAUGUAAUGAUAAAGGAAUCAAUACAAGAAGAGGACAUUACACUUAUUAACAUAUAUGCACCUAAUACAGGAGCACCUAAAUACAUAAAGUAAAUAUUAACAGACAAAGUAAGUACUUGACAGCAAUCCAAUAACAGUAGGGGACUUUAACACCCCGCUUACCUCAAUGGACACAUCAUCCAGACAGAAAAUCAAUAAGGAAACAGUAGUCAUAAGUGACACAACAGACCAAUUGGACAUAAUAGAUAGUUAUGGGGCAUUCCAUCCCACAACAGCAGAAUACACAUUCUUUUAAAGCGCACAUGGAACAUUCUCCCAGAUAGAUGACAGGCUAGGCCACAAAUCAAGUCUCAGCAAAUUUAAGAGGAUAGAAAUUAUAUGAAGCAUUUUUUUUCUGACCACAAUGGUAUGAAUUAGAAAUAAGUUACAGGGGAAAAAAUAAGAAAAGCACAAACACGUGGAGACUAAUCAACAUGCUACUAAAAAAAAUCAAUGAGUCAAUGAAGAAAUCAAAGAGGAAAUCAGAAAAUACCUUGAGACAAAUUCAAAUGGAAACAAAACUUCCCAAACUCUAUGGGGGGGGGCAACAAAAGCAGUUUUAAGGAGAAAGUUUAUAGCGACACAGGCCUACCUCAAGAGACAACAAAAAUCUGAAAUAAAUAACUUAAUCUACCACUUAAAGGAAAAAGAA